rnacentral:rRNA from 1 species
AUUGAACGCUGGCGGCAGGCUUAACACAUGCAAGUCGAGCGAGCGGCGGACGGGUGAGUAAUGUCUGGGAAACUGCCUGAUGGAGGGGGCUAAAUACUGGGAACGGUAGCUAAUACCGCAUACCAUCAGAUGGGCCCAGAUGGGAUUAGCUAGUAGGUGGGGUAAUGGCUCACCUAGGCGACGAUCCCUCGCUGGUCUGAGAGGAUGACCAGCCACACUGGAACUGACACACGGUCCAGACUCCUACGGUAGGCAGGCGUGGGGAAUAUUGCAAAAUGGGCGCAAGCCUGAUGCAGCCAUGCCGCGUGUGUGACGAAGGCCUUCGGGUUGUAAAGCACUUUCAGCGAGGAGUCGUUACUCGCAGAAGAAGCACCUGCUAACUCCGUGCCAGCAGCCGCGGUAAUAC